rnacentral:rRNA from 1 species
AUUGAACGCUGGCGGCAGGCCUAACACAUGCAAGUAGAGCGGAGCGGCGGACGGGUGAGUAAUGCCUAGGAAUCUGCCAGGUAGUGGGGGAUAACGUCCGGAAACGGGCGCUAAUACCGCAUACUAUCAGAUGAGCCUGGGUCGGAUUAGCUAGUUGGUGGGGUAAAGGCCUCCCACGGCGAAGAUCCGUAACUGGUCUGACAGGAUGUUCAGUCAAACUGGAACUGAGACACGGUCCAGACUCCUACGGGAGGCAGCAGUGGGGAAUAUUGCACAAUGGGCGCAAGCCGGAUGCAGCCAUGCCGCGUGUAUGAAGAAGGCCGUCGGGUUGUAAAGUACUUUCAGCGAGGAGGCGUUACUCGCAGAAGAAGCACCGGCUAACUCCGUGCCAGCAGCCGCGGUAAUUC